UACGUAGGGUGCAAGCGUUGUCCGGAAUUAUUGGGCGUAAAGGGCUCGUAGGUGGCCAACUAAGUCAGACGUGAAAUCCCUCGGCUUAACCGGGGAACUGCGUCUGAUACUGGAUGGCUUGAGUUUGGGAGAGGGACGCGGAAUUCCAGGUGUAGCGGUGAAAUGCGCAGAUAUCAGGAGGAACACCGGUGGCGAAGGCGGGUCUCUGGGCCGAUACUGACGCUGAGGAGCGAAAGCGUGGGGAGCGAACAGG
rnacentral:rRNA from 1 species